rnacentral:sRNA from 1 species
UUUUAGCCCCGAUGGAAACGGCAUCCUGUUGUGGCGGUGUUCGCCAUAACAGAUAUAGUGUACAGUGGGAUUAGCU